UACGAAGGGGGCUAGCGUUGUUCGGAGUUACUGGGCGUAAAGGGUGCGUAGGCGGUCCUAUAAGUAUGGUGUGAAAUCUCCCGGCUUAACUGGGAGGGUGCGCUAUAGACUGUGGGACUAGAGUGUGGGAGAGGAAAGUGGAAUUCCUGGUGUAGCGGUGAAAUGCGUAGAUAUCAGGAGGAACACCGGUGGUGUAAACGGCUUUCUGGACCAUAACUGACGCUGAGGCACGAAAGCGUGGGUAGCAAACAGG
rnacentral:rRNA from 1 species